rnacentral:misc_RNA from 1 species
GGAGGGAGGGUUGUUCAUCUCUCUACUCUAUCUCUCUAGAGUUUUAAAUUCUUUGAACAAAGAAAAAAAAAUCUAAUCACUUUUUGUAUUAAAGUUUGCUGGAGAUUUGUAUUUAAUUUGUCGACAAGACAGGAAAAAUUCUGGGGUGUUAAGUUUUUCUUGAUCGUUUUUUGGUGGUAUUGAAGUUAUGGAAGACAAAAGCAAUGAUUAUUAUGCAGUUUUGGGGUUGAAGAAGGAAUGCACUGACACAGAACUUAGGAAUGCCUAUAAGAAGCUUGCACUGAAAUGGCACCCAGAUCGCUGUUCAGCAUCGGGGAAUUUGAAGUUUGUAGAUGAAGCAAAGAAGCAAUUUCAGGCAAUUCAAGAAGCAUAUUCUGUGUUAUCGGAUGCAAACAAAAAGUUUUUGUACGAUGUAGGAGUUUAUGACUCUGGUGAUGAUGACGACGAAAAUGGCAUGGGUGAUUUCCUGAAUGAAAUGGCAGCUAUGAUGAGCCAAAAUAAGUCCAAUGAAAAUCAGGGAGAAGAAACCUUUGAGGAAUUGCAGGAUAUGUUUAAUGAAAUGUUCAACAGUGAUAAUGGAACGU